UACGGAGGGGGCAAGCGUUGUUCGGAAUUACUGGGCGUAAAGGGCUCGUAGGUUGCCAACUAAGUCAGACGUGAAAUCCCUCGGCUUAACCGGGGAACUGCGUCUGAUACUGGAUGGCUUGAGUUCGGGAGAGGGAUGCGGAAUUCCAGGUGUAGCGGUGAAAUGCGUAGAUAUCUGGAGGAACACCGGUGGCGAAGGCGGCAUCCUGGACCGACACUGACACUGAGGAGCGAAAGC
rnacentral:rRNA from 1 species